AUUGAACGCUGGCGGCAUGCCUUACACAUGCAAGUCGAACGGUAACAGGUCUUCGGACGCUGACGAGUGGCGAACGGGUGAGUAAUACAUCGGAACGUGCCUAGUAGUGGGGGAUAACUACUCGAAAGAGUGGCUAAUACCGCAUGAGAUCUACGGAUGAAAGCAGGGGAUCGCAAGACCUUGUGCUACUAGAGCGGCCGAUGGCAGAUUAGGUAGUUGGUGGGAUAAAAGCUUACCAAGCCGACGAUCUGUAGCUGGUAUGAGAGGACGAUCAGCCACACUGGGACGGGGACACGGCCCAGACUCCUCCGGGAGGCAGCAGUGGGGAAGUUGGGACAAUGGGCGCAAGCCUGAUCCAGAAAUGCCGCGUGCAGGAUGAAGGCCUUCGGGUUGUAGACUGCUUUUGUACGGGACGAAAAGCCCUGGGUUAAUACCCUAGGGUCAUGACGGUACCGUAAGAAUAAGCACCGGCUAACUACGUGCCAGCCGCCGCCGUAAAAC
rnacentral:rRNA from 1 species